AUUCAGUGAUAGGUGGAACAAACUAUCGGAGAUGCAGAUUUAAGCAGCAAAUAACAAUGUAAUUGAUUUGCUCAUUAUUCAUAGAAGGGGUUGUUAUUUUAUACGGAACUGCUAUUUAAGUAUCAUCUUGCUCUGGGACAUACAUUUUGCUUGUAGUACCAAUGAAUAACAUGGAGUCUGAGUUUGUGAAUGCUAACCACAUGCCUGGUAUUCUUCAUCGGCUACUUCCUGCUGUUGGACCUGGACU
rnacentral:misc_RNA from 1 species